GACGAACGCUGGCGGCGUGCUUAACACAUGCAAGUCGAACGAUGAACCCGGAGCUUGCUCCGGUGGAUUAGUGGCGAACGGGUGAGUAACACGUGGGUGAUCUGCCCUGCACUUCGGGAUAAGCCUGGGAAACUGGGUCCAAUACCGGAUAGGACCACUGCCUGCAUGGGUGGUGGUGGAAAGCUCUUGCGGUGUGGGAUGGGCCCGCGGCCUAUCAGCUUGUUGGUGGGGUGAUGGCCUACCAAGGCGACGACGGGUAGCCGGCCUGAGAGGGUGACCGGCCACACUGGGACUGAGAUACGGCCCAGACUCCUACGGGAGGCAGCAGUGGGGAAUAUUGCACAAUGGGCGCAAGCCUGAUGCAGCGACGCCGCGUGAGGGAUGACGGCCUUCGGGUUGUAAACCUCUUUCAGCACCGACGAAGCGCAAGUGACGGUAGGUGCAGAAGAAGGACCGGCCAACUACGUGCCAGCCGCCGCAGUAA
rnacentral:rRNA from 1 species